GGGUGACGGGUGCGUGUCUGCAGCCAGCGUUCCGGGUCUCAGAGCUAAGAGCACCGAGAUCAGGAUGUGGGCUGACGUGACAGACUCCACGGCUGCACUAAAACUGUGGUCUUCAGGAAGUCCUGCUCCUGUCCACACACAUCCACUUCGGUUCCUGCCUGGCCGGCCCUUCCACCGUGUUCUUGCUCACAUCCCCAGCGUCCCGUUUACUGGACGCCCAUCCUCUUGGAUGCCUCAUAAAUGUUUGCGCCCAAUAUGGUGACACUGAGCCGGUCACCUGCUGCCCCAUGCUGCCUGCAGACCCCCCCCCCCACAGGACGCCGCGGGGCUCCUUCACGUCACCCAGGCUGUCACCUCGCGCUCCUGGUCUCUCCCACGCCUGCCCCUUCUCCACCCACCAGGUCUUCAGGUGCAGGCCCUCCUUGGGGCUCACUGGUCCAGACCUUCACCUGCACCGUGGUCGGAGUGGACACAGGUCUGACCGGGCCCCUGGGAAGGCCUCUGAUACCUGCCAUGGUCCUCGGGCCACAUUUCGAGUCCCCUGGCUCAGUGCACUGCACGAUAUGCCAUUCCCUGCCUCACGCUGCUGUGUCCCCCUCCCCCCAUCACACGGAAGGGCUCUUCCCACCUCCACUUGCUCUUCCGCCUUGCCCUCUCCCUCUUCCCCACUGACUCCUAGUAAUCCUUCUAGAUUUCGCUUUUGCAAGCACUGUUCCUUCUCCUUCUCCUGGGUGCCCCCCUAGCCCAGGGGCUAACGCCCGCCCUCCUCAGCUUUCAGGGAAGCCUCCGGCGGGGCCCGCGCCCUGCCAGCCCGUGGCAGCUUAUAAAUCCACGGGUCAACGCGGUGCUGGAUGCACGCGUGCCUCCACCACGAGGGCAGCGACCCGACUCCCGCCCCGUGUGUCCCAGGGCCUGCACAUGGGCUGUCAGUAAACAGGCAUUAAAUGAAUGGUGCUCAUUAAACAAGACACCAUUUCCUCUA